ensembl:lncRNA
ACAAGAUUUCCAGGACAAGAAAAAGCAUCAGCCACACAUGUCCAGCUGUCAGAUCUCCUUCAUCAAGGAAUAUUUGCGAGACUCAUAAAAGCAUCCGAAGAGAGAGAGAGUCGGUCGUUCUAUCCUCUGAGCAAGGAAAGAGAAGCUUGUGCAUGGCCGGUGCAUGUUCCAGAGGAAGAAAGGCAGUGGGUGAGAGGGACACUUUGGGCCAGGCAACCAGUCCCAGGAGCACCCAGAACUGCAGCCCCGCCCCGUGGCCUGCGUCUAGGCCUCUGCCAGAUCUCCUGGGCCUCUCUGCAAAGAGCUCAAGCACUGCUGGUUUCCACAGCUUUCGAACUCAGCCCGAAGCUUCCUCGGCUACACUGAGGGGACUAACGCGUGACUAGGAUGCCAGGUUCCCACAGCAAAUCACAUAGAAGUCCCUGCUUCCUCUUACAUGCUGGAUCCCCAUGCCUGCCGGUCAGUGGGGCCUUCACAGGGUCCCCUUGCAGUGCCUGGGACACCUGGACCUUUUCCUCAGACACGGGCCCCGGUCCUCUUGUGCAGUGCUGGCCCUGCAUCCCUGAGUCACAGCACACACCGACCACUCCAGAGCCGCUCCCCGGCUGGCAUCAUAUGCAUGGCCAGUGUCUACCAUCUCCCACCGAAGACUUUGCCCAGCUCAAGACCAAGGAGACCAGGUGACUCUGUGACCAGGAAAGUGUGGCUCAGCUGCACAGGCCCCCUUGGGCUGCAACAACCCUUCCUGGGUAGUAGCGAGCCCCGAGCCCUCUCGGGGUCAGGCCCCCCCACACCCUGGGAAUUCUGCUGCAGCAGGAGGUGCUGAGUCAGCCACAGGCCCUGUGGACAGCCCAGCUUCAACUUCAGCAUAUAAAUCCCGUCCUGCUCUGCAGCUCAUACAAUGGCAAUGACAUCCCCACCACCAAAGUCUGUAGGCUUCCCAUGUGACAUUUUUAAACAAAAUGUUAAACUUAUACCCAUAAAAUAAUAGAAAAUGAUAGCCCAGCCAGCAACAUUAAAAGCUGCUUUUUCUAUGAAUUCCGUCUAUUGACUGCUAAGCGUCUUCUGUGUGUUGGAUUUUCUGCUUAGCCGUGAAGACAUAGAAUUGAAUGGAGACAUUGUACCCACCCUGACCAGCUCAGAGCCAUGGCCCAGGACAGACUACAGCCUAUCAGGAACCAGCACCACAGAGCAGGUCGUGGUGCAGUCCUUCUUUGCAUAUAAAGUUGUUACAACUUGGAUCUAAAAUGACCUCAAGGAUCUCACAUGUGUCCAAGGUGACUGGAUCCUGGGGCGCUGUGCUCCUCAGUGGCUCCAUCACGGGUAGUGAUUCUACAGCCAAAACCUGAAGGAGCCAGGUACGGUGGAGUCUGCGGAAAUGUGUCCUGUUCACUCCUGCACCGGGGCAUGAGUAAUCAUGCAGGGAAGGCACUUAUUUUCUCUCUGCACCAACUUCUAUAAAGUAUGCAUCAAAGUGCUGCACUGAGGACAAAUCAGGCAACAUAUUUGAACUAUAAAAGCAUAUUGUGGGGAUUGAGGAUUUACUAAAUCUUUCUCCUGCCUCAGCCUCCCACAGUGCUGGGAUGGCAGGCGUGCGCCACCACCUGGACCCAGCUGUUCUCCAGCGAUUACACUACUGCUGUCCCCUGAGCAAAGAGAACCAUGAAGAACCUCACAGGAGGUUCGCCACGGACAAACACAGCCAAGGCGGGACAGCUCUGCCUUCCCUCAUCCAGGGCUACUUCUGCCCCAGCCCCAGGAUGCAGGGACCUUCUCCAUCAUGCCAGGCUUCACACUGCCUCCACAUGGGUCAAGGCCAGGUGCUGUGUGGGAAGCAUCUGACCUCUGCUUCUCCUUGGGGCCACACCUUCUGUGACUCUCCAGGUCAUUGUCCAUUGCCAUAUGUAGCAGAGCUGGGAUUUGAAAGGCGCAUCAGGAGAGUCUGUGUCCAUGAACCCCAAACCACGCCACCUUCCUGGGAACUACAUUGUGUCAAUCAAGGUUUCACUGGCAGGCAGUGUAGUGGGGCACAGUGGGGAAAUUACCUUUCUGGCAUUGCCAAGUGGGUGACAUAUAAGACCAUGCAGCAUGGAACCAGAAGUGCAACUAUAGGACACAGAAACCAAGAACAGAGUGUGUACUUAAUUAGAUCACACGUGGUGCUAGGGUUUAGGUCUAGAAUCCCUCCCAAAAAGCUCCUGUGUUCAGAGCUGGAGCUUUUAGAAGGUGACAGAUCAUGGUUGCUGUGUUCAUCAGUGGAUCCAUCAUGGAUGCGUUCACAACUGAAUGUGCUGUAAGAGGUGGCCCUGGUUGGAGGAGGUCACUGGGGUGAGACCUGGAAAGGUGCAUUCCUGUCCCCAGCUCCUCCCUUCUCCUUGCUUCCAGGCCAUCACAAACUAAGCUAUUUCUGCCUUGGAGCGCUGACCAUGGACUGAUUCCUCAAUAUACUGUGAGCCAAAAUAAACUUCUCUUCGAUAAACUGUGGGUAUCUCUUCUCCCAGCGAUGAGAUCAACCCUAACCAGUUCUCAGGCUCUACAUGGUGAUGGGAAGGAGCUGCUGUCUCCAGGUGUAUUUCUUGGGGACACUGAUGAUGGAUUUCUGUGUUUUGCCAUCUGUAAUUGCUUCCCGUGGCAUGGGUCUGAGCCCUAAGAGUUCCCUGACUUCCACUUCCCACACUUCCAAAAGGGCAUCACACUCACUGUAUGGCUCAGGAAACUGGUUUACAAUCCUCUGUUUGCCACUAAUGAAGCUCUCUGGACAAGUUAUGUAAUCUCACUAACAUUCAGCUCCAUGUACACAACAGGCUACUCAGGGUAGCCCUAAGGUGACACUGAGAGGACUCUGAAGAGCAGCCCAUGUAGGAAGUUCAGCCAGCUCCUGCCAUUAGCACCAUGCCCAGUGGACAUUCACCGUCAUCUUGAAGGAUGAUUAAUGCUUUGUCAUUAUUUUCUCACCAAAACCUUUUUUAACAGGAAAAAAAGAAAAUUCCUGAGUAAAGCAAUCUCCUCAUUAAGACCUUACAUGUGCUGUGUGGACCGUAAAAGACCACACUGCCCUGCUUGAGAGUCAGCAAGGCUCUGGGUGGACCAUCCCACACCAGGCCACUGUCCCGAGGAGAAGCCACCCCAGCACCUCUCCACAUAGCCGUUGUUCACCUUAAGAGGUCUUUCCCACUGUUCUUCCAGUGGGAAAGUACGGCCCAAGCUUCAGGACCUGACAAGAGAGGUUAUUAUUGUCCUCAUCAUGGUACAAAUGACCAGACUCCAGUUAGCCCAAACUUGUUCCAAGGGUCAGACUUCACAAGUGACUUUCACAGGGCACUCACUUUACCCGUACUCUGCAGGAGUCUGAGUGAUCCUCUCUCGUCAGGGCUGUGACAUCAUUGCAAAUGUACAAGCGCUGGCCUGAGGCUUAAUGCAUUGCAGCCAUCCUGCAUUCUUAACUUAGGCUGGGGCUGCGGUUCCUCUGCCUAAAACAACACAGUCACGGGCCACAUGAAAGCAAUUUUCCCACCAGCACCUUCUUCUUAUUUUCCAGGCUCUCAGAGAACAGCCACCUCUCUCACCUUGCAGCCACCUCAGAUUGGAGCAUGGGACACAGCUGUCUGUGUGGCCCUUGGGGAAAAGAUGUGGCCCCUAGACUACUCACAGGACUGGGGGCCUCAGUGAACGCAGAGGGCAUCACAUGUGCCAGUGUGGCUGGGACUGGAUGCUCUAGACAUGCAGCCAACGGACACUGAGCUCCCACCAAGGGCCAGGGAAGCCCCUGAAGUGAGCCCAAGUAGGAGGACAAACGGAUCGGAUUUCUCUCCCGAAAGAUGACAAGCCACAUGGAGAACAAGCUGGUGGGAGAGAGAGAGCAAUCUUGAAUAUCAGGCUCAGUUGUCACGUAAGAGGGUGAAACCGUGCGAGAUGGGUUGUAAUGUUGGACCCACGCUGGCCCAUGGAUCCCGGUGAGAUGAAAAAUGUAAAGGGAGGAAUCUUAAUGUCAGUGGCACAGCCAGGACAUCACAACAGCUGGAAAUCAACACUAGCGGGGUCCCGGGCAGGCGGGGUGCAGGCGCCCUGUGACCUGUGUCUACCCUGUCCCUCUCCUGAGCAUUCUGGAAAUCUUUCCUGAGCCUAGGGAAAUUUUCAUUUGAUGAAUUAAUAAAAAG